GGCUUAAUUUGACUCAACGCGGGAAAUCUUACCGGGUCCGGACACACUGAGGAUUGACAGGCAAUAUUAGCACUUAGCUUCGGCGACGUGUUAUGUUAAAUAUGCUAGUCCUUUCAUGAUUAUGUGAUAGGUGGUGCAUGGCCGUUCUUAGUUCGUGGAGUGAUCUGUCUGCUUAAUUGCGUUUCACCAAGGGCCUAUAAUUUUACGUGUGUUGCGGCACUUUGACCCCUCUUUUUUUAAAGAGCGCGUGUCUUGGUUUGCUUAGCUCGCACAAUUAGGUCCUGAAAGCAACGAACGUGACCGCAACCUCUUGUUGCCUUUAUACCAAACGUGCAUAUGUAAUUUUUUUAAAUUGCUUUGCGCGCAAAAAGGCUUUUUAAACUAGAGGGACCGCUGUUACUUUCUUAAACCAGAGGAAGGUUGCGGCAAUAACAGGUCUGUGAUGC
rnacentral:rRNA from 1 species